CUGGUUGAUCCUGCCAGUAACAUAUGCUUGUCUCAAAGAUUAAGCCAUGCAGGUCUAAGUGCACACGGCCGGUACAGUGAAACUGCGAAUGGCUCAUUAAAUCAGUUAUGGUUCCUUUGAUCGCUCCCACCCGUACUUGGAUAACUGUGGCAAUUCCAGAGCUAAUACAUGCAAACGAGCGCUGACUGGCCCCCUUCACGGGGGGCUGCGGAUGCGUGCAUUUAUCAGAUCCAAAAACCCAUCCGGGGGCCUCGUGCCCCCGGUCCGCUUUGGUGACUCUAGAUAACCUCGGGCCGAUCGCGCGCCCUCUGCGGCGGCGACGUGUCUUUCGAAUAUCUGCCCUAUCAACUUUCGAUGGUACUUUAGGCGCCUACCAUGGUGACCACGGGUAACGGGGAAUCAGGGUUCGAUUCCGGAGAGGGAGCCUGAGAAACGGCUACCACAUCCAAGGAAGGCAGCAGGCGCGCAAAUUACCCAUUACCGACACGGUGAGGUAGUGACGAAAAAUAACAAUACAGGUCUCUUUCGAGGCCCUGUAAUUGGAAUGAGCGUAUCCUAAACCCAUGGGCGAGGACCCAUUGGAGGGCAAGUCUGGU
rnacentral:rRNA from 1 species